AUACAAUUUAAAAACAAAACCUUAGUUUGAAUAUUUUUUCUAAACAACUGGAGAAUGUCUUUUGUAGAAAAGUAUUAAUAACUGAAACAUUUAUAAAUUCUUGUUUAUAACUUUUAGCUUAGGUGAAACACAUCAUGUAUGAAAGCUCAGCCUGGUUUCCCAUUAUCACCCACCAGUAUUAUAUGUUUACUUUUCUGCUUAUGUAGAAGUGAAUCAAAGACAAGUUCACUGGCUUUCAAAUAUAAACU
rnacentral:lncRNA from 1 species